CCUACGGGUGGCAGCAGUGGGGAAUAUUGGACAAUGGGCGAAAGCCUGAUCCAGCCAUGCCGCGUGUGUGAAGAAGGCCUUCGGGUUGUAAAGCACUUUCAGUGGGGAAGAAAGCCUUGGGGCUAAUACCCUCGAGGAAGGACAUCACCCACAGAAGAAGCACCGGCUAACUCCGUGCCAGCAGCCGCGGUAAUACGGAGGGUGCGAGCGUUAAUCGGAAUUACUGGGCGUAAAGCGCGCGUAGGCGGUCUGAUAAGCCGGUUGUGAAAGCCCCGGGCUCAACCUGGGAACGGCAUCCGGAACUGUCAGGCUAGAGUGCAGGAGAGGAAGGUAGAAUUCCCGGUGUAGCGGUGAAAUGCGUAGAGAUCGGGAGGAAUACCAGUGGCGAAGGCGGCCUUCUGGACUGACACUGACGCUGAGGUGCGAAAGCGUGGGUAGCAAAUAGGAUUAGAUACCCUUGUAGUC
rnacentral:rRNA from 1 species